rnacentral:rRNA from 1 species
AGUGAACGCUGGCGGUAGGCCUAACACAUGCAAGUCGAACGGCAGCACAGUAAGAGCUUGCUCUUACGGGUGGCGAGUGGCGGACGGGUGAGGAAUACAUCGGAAUCUACUUUUUCGUGGGGGAUAACGUAGGGAAACUUACGCUAAUACCGCAUACGACCUACGGGUGAAAGCAGGGGAUCUUCGGACCUUGCGCGAUUGAAUGAGCCGAUGUCGGAUUAGCUAGUUGGCGGGGUAAAGGCCCACCAAGGCGACGAUCCGUAGCUGGUCUGAGAGGAUGAUCGGCCACACUGGAACUGAGACACGGUCCAGACUCCUACGGUAGGCAGCAGUGGGGAAUAUUGGACAAUGGUCGCAAGCCUGAUCCAGCCAUACCGCGUGGGUGAAGAAGGCCUUCGGGUUGUAAAGCCCUUUUGUUGGGAAAGAAAAGCAGCAGGUUAAUACCCCGCUGUUCUGACGGUACCCAAAGAAUAAGCACCGGCUAACUUCGUG